AGUCUCCUGUAGCUCAGUGGUAGAGCGUCCGACCGGUGUGCGGAAGGUCAUAGGUUCGACUCCUACUCGGAAUUU